rnacentral:rRNA from 1 species
UACGUAGGCAGCGAGCGUUGUUCGGAAUUACUGGGCGUAAAGCGUGCGUAGGCGGUGCCUCAAGUUUGGUGUGAAAUCUCCCGGCUCAACCGGGAGGGUGCGCCGAAAACUGAGGUGCUCGAGUGUGGGAGAGGUAAGCGGAAGUUCUGGUGUAGCGGUGAAAUGACGUAGAUAUCAGGAGGAACACCGGCGGUGUAGACGGCUUACUGGACCAUAACUGACGCUGAGGCACGAAAGUGUGGGGAGCAAACAGG